CUAGGCGCGUGCCGGGUAGCCAGUGGGAACACCUAUUCUGAGGAAGUGGAGACCCGUGGGCAGGCGGCUGAGACAGGGCACUGAAAGUUGUGGAACCAUAAUUUGUGACAUGAUGUGCUUUUUGGUAAGCAGACAUUUAUGAUUCCAGAAGAUUGGGACUAACAGGAGGAAGCCCCUUCUGAGAUUUUUAACAAAGUUCUCAAACAGCAACCUACACCAUGGACAUGAAGCUGGACCCUUCCCGAGAUGACCUGCCUCUCCUGGCCAACACCAGCCACAUACUUGUGAAGCACUAUGUACUGGAUUUGGAUGUGGAUUUCGAAAGUCAGGUCAUUGAGGGCACCAUUGUGCUUUUCUUUGAGCCUGGAAACAGAUUCGAGAAAGAAGGUGGUUCCACUGAGGAAACGUGCCAAUCAGAGGCUAACGAAGCCUGCAAAUUUAGGAUGCCUGAACCCUGCCAUAUUCCUGUGACAGAUACAAGGACCUUCUCAUCUAAAGUGGGAUGUCAUGAUUUUGUAAUCUGUGGUAAAGGUGAAAAAGAUACUUCUGGUAAAGAUGGUAACCAUGACAACCGGGAGCAGGCUUCUGGGAUUUCUAGCUCAGAGUACUGCUGUGACACGGGGAAUGCUGGGAGUGAGGAUUUUUUGCUAGUGUUGGACUGCUGUGAUUUAUCUGUGGUAAAGGUUGAGGAGGUGGAUGUUGCUGCUGUGCCAGGUAUUGAAAAAUUUACAAGGCCUCCCAAGCUCAGGAAUCAGAUUGUACGUGAACUUGUGGCUCUGCCUGCAGAUCGUUGGAGGGAGCAGUUAGACUGCUACGCUCGCUGCAGCCAGGCUCCUGGCUGUGGGGAGCUCCUGUUUGACACUGACACUUGGAGCUUACAGAUCAGGAAGACAGGGGCUCAGACAGCUACUGACUUUCCUCACGCCAUAAGGAUACGGUACAGGACCAAACCCCAGGGGCGAUCAGUUACGUGGACCUCAGACCAGAGUGGCAGGCCAUGUGUUUAUACUAUGGGAUCUCCCAUAAACAACAGGGCCCUUUUUCCAUGCCAGGAGCCACCCGUUGCCAUGUCAACAUGGCAGGCUACAGUUCGAGCAGCUGCAUCUUUUGUUGUUUUAAUGAGUGGAGAAAAUUCUGCCAAGCCAACACAGCUUCGGGAAGGAUGCUCAAGCUGGCAUUACUACGUAACCAUGCCGAUGCCAGCCUCCACCUUCACAAUUGCAGUGGGGUCCUGGACAGAAAUGAAGCCAGAGACCUGCUCAUCAAAUGAUCUGGCAACAGAGAGAUCCUUCUCACCUUCCGAGGCUGAUUUCAGGUACGCUGGCAUUUGUGGUCACAUGGAAUACCCGUGCCGCUUCCAGAAUGCUUCUGCCACCACCCAGGAGAUCAUCCCUCAUCGGGUCUUUGCCCCGCUGUGCCUCCAGGGUGCCUGCCAGGAGACCCUCCUGCCGCUGGUCCCUGCUUGCCUCGCGGCGGCGCACUCCGUCCUGGGAACACACCCGUUCUCCAGGCUGGAUGUACUCAUCGUCCCUGCCAACUUUCCAAGCCUGGGGAUGGCCAGCCCACACAUCAUCUUCCUCUCUCAGAGCACCUUGCCUGGAAGGAGCCAUCUCUGUGGGACCCGUCUCUGCCAUGAGAUUGCUCACGCCUGGUUUGGCCUGGCUCUUGGGGCCCGUGACUGGACGGAGGAGUGGCUGAGUGAAGGGUUCGCCACUCACUUGGAAGAUGUGUUCUGGGCCAGAGCACAGCAGCUGGCCCCCCACGAGGCCCAGGAGCAGCAGGAGCUGAGGGCCGGCCUGCGCUGGCGUCGCCUGCAGGACGAGGUGCAGAACUCCCCAAAGGAGAUGCAGGUGUUGAGACCUAAUAAAGAGAAAACGGGCCACGUGAGUGACUCAGGAUCAUCUGUCAUCAAACAUGGGCUCAAUCCGGAGAAGGUCUUCAUGCAGGUUCAUUACCUGAAGGGCUACUUCCUUCUCCGGUUCCUCGCCCAGAGACUUGGAGAUGACACCUAUUUUUCAUUUUUAAGAAAGUUUGUGCACACAUAUCACGGGCAGCUGAUUCUUUCCCAGGAUUUCCUUCAAAUGCUGUUGGAGAACAUCCCAGAAGAAAAAAGGCUUGAGUUGUCUGUUGAAAACAUCUUCCGAGACUGGCUUGAGAGUUCCGGAAUACCACAGCCGCUGCAGAGGGAGCGCCAGGCCGGGGCGGAGUGCGGGCUCGCCCGGCAAGUGAGCGCGGAGGUCGCGAAAUGGGUUCGAGUGAACCGGAGACCCCGAAAGCGGAAACGAAGGGAGACCGAAGAAGUGUUUGAAGAGCAAACACAGCAAGCAGCAGCGCUCGCAUGAGUGUGUGCGUCUGUCUCUGUCUUCUGACUCGACUCAGGAAGGCCAGCCCGGCUUCCCAGCCAGGCUCUUGGUGCAUCUGCACCCGUCUGCAGUGUGCCCCCCACACCGGACGCCACUGGCCCCGUUCCUGCUCCGGCCUGGCAGCUCUCAGAGCACUCCUCAGGCUUCCCGUAAGAUUUCUGUUCCAGCAAAGCUCCAUUUUAGAUCAGUCUAAUCAUUUUUUAUACUCAAGUCAUUGCUUUUGUUUCUUUUGCCCAAACUACUUUGAUUCGAAGUUCACUUGAAGGCUGGCGGGGCUUAUACAAAUAGCAGCCAGCGAAAGGCACUUCAGAGGGGGCACGUUGCCUCCUCUGCUGUCCUGUUACAGGACGUGUCUGGUCCAAGGGAGCAGUGCCUCUGCCACCUUCCGUGAGGCAGGGAAAGCGAAUUCUAGUACAGGUGGUUGUCUUGAGAUGAUCGUGUUCUCUGAAAUGACUCUUGGUUAAGUUUGUAAACGCUAAGGAGAACGUAGGCCUUGAAUCCGUGGGAAGCUCAUCUUUGUGCCGCGCUGUCACGUGGGGCAUCAGGAAGAACUGAAAAGCUGAGGUAACUUCAGAAGAGAAAAUCACCACCAGCAAGGAGCUGUCUGCAGUAACUGGAAAAAUUAGAGCUCAAGCCACUGGAGGACUGUGCCAGUGAAUACAGUGUUACGGACAUAACGUUAGCCCGUCGCGUGUGCCGGGCGCAGGAGAGGACGUGGACACGGACGGGGAGGCCAAUGUGUGGAAAGCUUGGCAACUCAGGCUCCACGUGAGCACUUUGUUUGGGACGCUGAACAGGGCUGGAGUUGUCCGAUGGGGAGGGACCUUCAGCCACUCUGUCUCAGCCCCUGUUUUACCUGUGAGAACACGGAGGCCCUGGGGACCAGUCCCGGGCCUGCCGCCUUGGUCCUCUUUCCAGCCGUCUGCCUGGGCAGCCCCUCCAACCGGGGCAUGGGGGCCGAGAAGCCUUGGGGUCCGGGUGAGGAGAAGCGUGCACGCGGGUCCUUGUCGUGUUGUGGGGGCACGGACACCUGAGGGUGGCAGGAAGGAAGCUCUGGGAGACUCGGGCCCCGCCGAGGCCAUCCCUUGUGGCCUAGAAACAUGUCCAGGGUGAGGGUCUUUGCACGGGUUAUGGGGGACCCUCCCGCCCUGGCUUGGUCAGGCGUGGACUGGAUCAGAUUCUGAGAGCUCCGUCCUUCCAGUGAGCGGGCAAGACUCUGUAGUGAGACAACGGGGUGUCUGCAAGGGUUGGUGUGGAAUUUUGCUUUCCAUAUUAAAUUAGUGACCUUUACAAGGCACAGAUUAUUUGAAGUGUCUGUGAUGUUUGUCAUGGACCAAGCAACUGCGACGUCAAACGUGAAAAUGUUGUCGCUGUUUUUAAUCAGACAAUAGUGUAACCAGAUUUUAUUUUUGGAAUAAAGAUACUCUCAUAAAUGCCUUUUCUUCAGUCUGUACGCAUGUUUUAAUAUAUGUUGCGAUUUUUUCCCCUAAAAUACAGGGCUCCUUUCCUUGUUCAAACAUGUUCAAACCUUGAUCUAUUUCAAAUUUACAGUUAAGUGAAGUUUUUCUACAGUCUUUCUGACUUGGUUGUUUCCUUACAGGCCAAAUCAAACCACCUCCACCCCCAAAACAGUCCUCAUGAAACUAAUGCUGGACUUGGAUUAUGAAAGGUUGAGCUCCCCGGAACUCUGUGCGGUUGGGAGGGCAAAGUGAGUAGGAAUAUUGUGGUUUAGGAAAGAAGCUGCUUGUGUUUGGUUUUUUUUUUUUUGGCAACACAGCUGUCAGACAGUGCUCCAAACGGACAGGUGGAAAGAAAGGCAGGUCCUGAGCUGCUUCAGCCUUGGUGAAGGCGCCGCCCCCUCCCUUCUCAGCAGAAUGAAAGGUGCUGGAGAGCAGGCACUGGGUGCUGCUCCUGCGUUGCUAAUCCUGGCAAACCGUGAGGCUGUGUUAGGCUGGCUUGGUCUACAACAGCAUUACCUAAUCACAGAGCGCCAGAUUAUCAUAAGACAAAUCUACAUGAUGCUGAACUGUCUCCCAGCAAAAGAUUGCCGGUGCUCAGUGUGCGCGUGCAGCUUGGGUGCGCGUGCACUUGCACACGCUUCGCUGUCUCGUUGGUCUUUGACCUCUCUGCGGGGGGGGGGGUUCGGGCUGGGGCCCGCCGUGGGACCAUGGCCUCCCAUCUUGGAGGAAAGCAGCCGCCGCUGUUUCCGGAGCUGGCGCUGUUUGCGUCUGACUCUGACUCAUGCUCCCCGAGAACUGCCCUGUGCAUAAUGCAAAGUCAUUGUCAUCAUGAGCCAUCCCAGGGAGAGGCUCAGUGGAAAAAGUGAAGGUAGAGCGAACCUGGCUCCAGAACGGAAGGUGAAAGCUUCUUCCAGACCAGCUGGUCUUGCUUCUGGAGCAUCUCUUAGAGCAGAAGACCCUGAGCCCCCGAACUCUGCAAAGCCUGGAGAGAACGUACCGCCUCCCG